GUCACCGUGAGGUGGGGUCUGAAGGAAGUCCAAUCCAAACGCGCGGGGCGAUGAACAGGAACCGGAUAGGAGGUGUGGGACCACCCGGGACGAGCGGGCACGUGACCGCGAAGUCCUCCAUCUGCAACGGGGCGUGCUUUAUAAUCCGGCGUCUACGCAUGGAACGCUCUGUGU
rfam:Candidatus Methylomirabilis oxyfera complete genome.